CCUACGGUAGGCAGCAGUGGGGGAUAUUGCACAAUGGGGGAAACCCUGAUGCAGCGACGCCGCGUGGGUGAAGAAGCGCCUCGGCGCGUAAAGCCCUGUCAGCAGGGAAGAAAAUGACGGUACCUGAAGAAGAAGCCCCGGCUAACUACGUGCCAGCCGCCGCGGUAAUACGUAGGGGGCAAGCGUUAUCCGGAUUUACUGGGUGUAAAGGGUGCGCAGACGGCGAUGCAAGCCAGGAGUGCAAGCCAGGGGCCCAACCCCGGGACUGCUCUUGGAACUGCGUGGCUAGAGUGCAGGAGGGGCAGGCGGAAUUCGUGGUGUAGCGGUGAAAGGCGUAGAUAUCAGGAGGAACACCGGUGGCGAAGGCGGCCUGCUGGACUGCAACUGACGUUGAGGCCCGAAAGCGUGGGGAGCAAACAGGAUUAGAUACCCCAGUAGUC
rnacentral:rRNA from 1 species